GACGAACGCUGGCGGCGUGCCUAAUACAUGCAAGUCGAGCGGAUGAAAGAGGAGCUUGCUCCUCUAGAUUCAGCGGCGGACGGGUGAGUAACGCGUGGGCAACCUGCCCUGUAGAUUGGGAUAACUCCGGGAAACCGGGGCUAAUACCGAAUAAUCCUUCUGACCUCAUGGUCCGAUGUUGAAAGACGGUUUCGGCUGUCACUACAGGAUGGGCCCGCGGAGAAUUAGCUAGUUGGUGAGGUAACGGCUCACCAAGGCCACGAUGCGUAGCCGGACUGAGAGGGGUAUCGGCCACACGGGGACUGAGACCCGGCCCAGACGCCUACGGGAGGCAGCAGUAGGGAAGCUUCCACAAUGGACGAAAGUCUGAUGGAGCAACGCCGCGUGAGUGAAGAAGGUUCUCGGAUCGUAAAACUCUGUUGUGAGGGAAGAACAAGUACCGGAGUAACUGCCGGUGCCUUGACGGUACCUCAUUAGAAAGCCACGGCUAACUACGUGCCAGCAGCCGCGGUAA
rnacentral:rRNA from 1 species